GUACGUUAGUUUAAUACAAACAUGAACCAAUCAAAUACUCAACCCCAUAUUUCGUUAAUGCAUAACAGGUCACAAAAGAGGUUACAAGUCGAUCUUAAACUUAAAGCAACACCAUACAGUACAUUAAUGAUAAAUUCGUUAAAAUAUGGCAGUUAAGAUUAGAAGCUAAUUUUCGGCGGCUAUUAAUAAAUUGAAUUAUAUAUCUCAUUAAAAGAUUAGCAUUUUUUGGAAAGAAUGUCUGUUAACUGACAAUAAUUAAAUAGCUGUUGAUUGUGAUGAAAACUGGGUCGCUCGAUAUCUUUUUUCCAAUUCAAGGCCAGCUGCUUUUCUACUGAAACGGGUUUAAUAUCUGCAACUAAUUUUCUUAUCUCCUUGCAGGCAAAGGUCAAUGGGCUUGGAAUUGAGUUUUCAGUAUUAGAAUCCCGUAAACUGUGUUUGAGCCAGUCUAUAUUUUCACUAGUAUUGUCACCUUGUGGAUAUUUAUCGGCCAGUUUCAUCCUUGCGGUCUUUAGCUGUUCUCUUAAAUUACAAAGAUUUUUCUCAUACUGUGUCUUUAAUGUUUCAAAUUCUUUCAAUGUUCUAGAAGUGAUUUCAGAGUUAACUUCAUUCUCGUAUGAUUCAAUUUGUUCUUUUAAACGUUGGUUCAUUUCUGUAAGGUCGUCUUUCAUACUACUUUCCUCCUCCACUUGUUUUGAUAGUUUCAAUUUUGCACUGUUUAACUCGUCUAUUACAAUAUUUGCUUUCUCAAGUUUUGCAUUUAAUUGCAAUAAUUCCUCUUGAGAGUCUGAUAAGCAUAGUUUCAAAUGUUUAACUUCUGUCAAAGCAGGUUGAGAAGAUAUUAGUAACUGAGAUAGCCUUUGAGUUUCCUCUUGCACCUCAUUUAACUUUUCCGAUUGUCUUGCUUCUAUUUCAGUGUUUAGCUGAUUCAAAGUUUCCAAGUCUUGAAUUUCUUCUGUUAGUUUUAAUACUUUAUGAGACAACAAAGCAUUUUCCUCCAA